ACAUUAUCUUCGGAUAAUAAGUAAACUGGCGAACGGGUGAGUAACGCGUAAACAACUUGCCUCAGAGAUUGGGACAACAUUGGGAAACCAGUGCUAAUACCAAAUAAUGCAGCGGGCUCUUCGGAGCACAGUUGUUAAAGUAGGCUUCGGCUUACACUUUGAGAUAGGUUUGCGUCCGAUUAGUUAGUUGGUAGGGUAAAAGCCUACCAAGACCAAGAUCGGUAGCUGGUCUGAGAGGAUGAUCAGCCACACUGGAAUUGAGAUACGGUCCAGACUCCUACGGGAGGCAGCAGUAAGGAAUUUUGCACAAUGGGCGAAAGCCUGAUGCAGCAACGCCGCGUGAACGAUGAAGUUUUUAGGAAUGUAAAGUUCUGUCGUAUGGGAAGAGAUCUUUCGAAUGUUAAUACCAUUCGUUAAUGACGGUACCAUACAAGAAAGCACCGG
rnacentral:rRNA from 1 species